ensembl:lncRNA
AACAAAUUACACAACCGAAACACAACAAAGCCAAAACUUUUUUACAAUGCUAAACUGAACAGACUGGUUUGAGUUCUUACAUCUCCCGAACACUUACAAGCACCUGCAGAGGAGCAUAAGGACUGGCAGAACAUGGAACAAACUAUCCCAAAAUUUGAAUGUCUUUCUGUCAUUAUAGCCAACACUAAUGAAAGUACAGAGCUUUCAGAAAGGCCUGGAGGUGAGGUGCCUUAUCACCUGAGCAAGUUCGAAGUCCUGGAAGGGGGAGGGGAGGGGAUAUCAAUGUGCUUUGCUCAUUCCUUCUUUCCUUCCUUUUUUUUUUUUUUUUUUUU